GUGGGGUUGGUAGCUGCCACUAACCGCGUCACCGUAUUUUCUUUUCUCCUGCUUUCCAAUCGUGUGGACACGGCGGCGAGCAAUUGGGAGAACGCGGCAGCGGCGACCGGCCGGCAGCGGCGACCGCGUGAACGGCCGGCAGCGAGAGGCGGUGAGCGGAAGCUGUGCUCUGCGCGCUGUGUGUCGUCGGCUCCGGCCGCGGUCGUCGGGCUGGAUCGGCGGCAAUGGCGGCGUGGUGCAGGUUGCCAGCGGCGCUACAGACGGCUCCGUCGCCAGCGCCCCUCCGCCGCCAAGGCCCAACAGGACAACACUGCCAGCGGCCGAUGCAUGCCCAGAAGGCUCUCUCUUCCUCCUGUCUGAUCUGCCGUGUUACCAGUGGGUAGUAGCUUUUUUUUCUUCUGAUUUUUAGUCUAUUUUUAGUAGCAGUCCUGGGUUGGGAUCGGAGGUGGUCAACUGGAAUUGAACCGGCGUCCUACGGCGGCUGCCACAAUGCCUGCGAACUGGCAUCUAGCCCCUUACAAUUUUACGUCGUCAGGUUGCAGUUUGGGUGAUUCCCAUGGAGAUACCAAUAGUCAAUUCCAAAAGAUAGGAUUCUCCCAAAAAAUCAAGGGAUGGAAGAUGUAUGCAAGGGACUUGGAGACAAAGAGCAAGUAUCUAGAGCCAAUGUUGGAGAGCCAAACAAAUGUCAGCGUUUGUGUUCUUGUUGUACCUAGCCUGGUGUCGCCCGAGCUGAACUUCCAUGAGCAUGGGUACCCCCAUAAGGCAGAGUUCGUGACCUCUCUGUUGUCAGUUGAUUUUCCCUUGUGUCUUUCUUUCUUACCCUGCAUUUGAUUAUAACCAAAUUUUCAACCUCUCAGCUAUCUUCUUUCAACUGUGCCAUUGAGUGAAGUACUCAUCUUACCUCUGAAUUGAUGAAUAUUCUAUACAUAUGGCCUGGCGACAAACCGACGACGACUAUUGUUUUGGCAUGGCACCCAUGGCCGUUUGGGGCAUGAAGCAGUCAGUCCAGAGGACUGCGGCCAGGAUGAUGGCCUUUGUCCCUACAGCGUGAUUAGAACCAAAAGGACAGACAUUUUUCAGGACAGACAGUGAUGUUCAAAAGAUUAAGUGGGAUUGGUGGUGUGUUCUGCUCCUGGGUACACAAUGAAAUGUAGAGCUGCACUGCAUGUUGUGGUCUUCAGCGUCGGGCUGCCUAGUACGGUAGAAAUCGAACAUCAAAGGGUCGUCUAGUGGAGCUGAUCAGCUGAUGUAACUAAAUAAUUUGCACCGUCUCAUGUAAUUUAUUACAUAUUAACAUAUUAAUUCCUUUAUUUUUGAUAUGCGCGCAUUGCCAUGUGUGCAUGGACACAUUGGAAUUCUUACUCAAGCCGUACGUGCAAAACUUGCAUUGUGUAAUCAGGCCAUCCUUAUACUAUUCUUACGGGCAUUAAACUUUUACGUCACCUCUGAAUUAUCUUAGCUUUA